rfam:Sporosarcina newyorkensis 2681 genomic scaffold SCAFFOLD2, whole genome shotgun sequence.
UUUUACUUAAGCAACGCAAACCCUACCUACUUUUGCGUCCUUGCGACCCUGUAGUCGCGCCAGUGAUGAAUAAGUGUUCCGAAAAACAU